UGGGGAAUUGUUCGCAAUGGGCGCAAGCCUGACGACGCAACGCCGCGUGGAGGAUGAAGGUCUUCGGAUUGUAAACUCCUGUUGAUCGGGAAGAAUGGACUCCGGAUAAAUACUCCGGAGUAGUGACGGUACCGAUUGAGGAAGCCACGGCUAACUCUGUGCCAGCAGCCGCGGUAAUACAGAGGUGGCAAGCGUUGUUCGGAAUUACUGGGCGUAAAGGGCGCGUAGGCGGUCGCCUAAGUCGGACGUGAAAUCCCCAAGCUUAACUUGGGAACUGCGUCCGAUACUGGGUGACUUGAGUUCGGGAGAGGAAUGUGGAAUUCCAGGUGUAGCGGUGAAAUGCGUAGAUAUCUGGAGGAACACCGGUGGCGAAGGCGGCAUUCUGGACCGAAACUGACGCUGAGGCGCGAAAGCCAGGGGAGCAAACGGG
rnacentral:rRNA from 1 species